rnacentral:rRNA from 1 species
AACCGGGCGACCUACCCAUGAGCAGGAUGAAGCGAAAGUAAAAUUUCGUGGAGGUCCGAACCCACGAGCGUUGAAAAGCUCGGGGAUGACUUGUGGGUAGCGGUGAAAUUCCAAUCGAGCCCGGAGAUAGCUGGUUCUCCCCGAAAUAGCUUUAGGGCUAGCCUCAAGGUGAGAGAUACGGAGGUAGAGCACUGAAUGUCCUAGGGGGUAUUGCACCUACCGAAGACUAUCAAACUCCGAAUGCCGUCAUCUUAUACUUGGGAGUCAGACUGUGGGUGAUAAGAUUCAUAGUCGAAAGGGCAACAGCCCAGAUCGUCAGCUAAGGUCCCUAAAUGUAAGUUAAGUGGUAAAGGAUGUGGGAUUGCACAGACAACCAGGAUGUUGGCUUAGAAGCAGCCACUCAUUCAAAGAGUGCGUAAUAGCUCACUGGUCGAGUGAUCCUGCGCCGAAGAUUUCCGGGGCUAAAACUUACUACCGAAGCUACGGCAUCAGUAAUGAUGGGUAGGGGAGCUUCCCAUACGGGUUGAAGCAUGACCGUAAGGACAUGUGGACAGUAUGGGAGUGAGAAUGUUGGCAUGAGUAGCGAGAUGUGGGUGAGAAUCCCACAGGCCGUAAACCCAAGGUUUCCAGGGGAAGGUUCGUCCGCCCUGGGUUAGUCGGGACCUAAGCUGAGGCCGAAAGGCGUAGGUGAUGGACAACAGGUUGAUAUUCCUGUAC